UACCAAAUAUGUAAACCCCUAAUUUUAGCGUACAAGUCACACUAGAUCUUUAGCAUUCUCCUCCAGGCUCAACACCUCUAUGCUUUCGGAAAUUACGAGGAGACGAUCGACAAUCUCCUCCAGGCUCAACAACUCCUCCAUAAUCGGCCGCACCGGAGGCGGCAUACUAAUCCUUUAGAGUUUCUCCAAAUCUGAAAAUCGCCACUCCCAAAGCUUAAAGUCCAGAUGCAGAGAAGCCAUUGAAGAAACAAAGAAAAAGAUAGAUACAGAAAAUCCAAUUCUGUGAGAAAAAGAUAUACCAUAAAAAUUAAAGUAUGUUAAAAGGGAGGACAAGAAGGAAGCCCCGAUCAGGAUACUAAGCAAAUUUCAUAACUCUUAAUACGGUAUUGUGAUAGUUUUAGUUAAUGAUUAUCAGCCCAGGUAAAAUUAUACUCAAUAUCUUUUAUUUCUCUCACAACUUUUUCUUUUCCAGAAUUUAUAUCCUACUAUUAUGUAUAUAGAUGAGAAGUAAAGGUUUUUAUUGUUGUAUGAAAGUUCCCACCACAAAGCAGACUUAAAAUAAGAAAUUGAUGCUGAUGAGCUUUAUCUCAUUCAAAAGCUAAAGUAAUAGGCAUGUGCCUAAGAAAUAUUUCUUUUGUUUGAUAGCCAACUUUGUUGAAUUUCUUUGGUUUGCUAGUCAACUUUGUUGAAUUGUCAACAUUUAAGAAACAGAAGGAAAAAUGUGUGCAAAUUGUCAAAUAUAUUAGGCUUUAGAAAAUGAGACUUCGGUUAUAAAAGGAGAGCUCCAGCUCUAAUUUUCACACACCAACAAAG